AAGGAAUUCAAAUUCUUCAUGCAUUAUGCAAAGACUGACACAGAAACUCUUGAAAUCUCACAAGAAUGGAGCUCCACUUUAAAAUUUUGGGUCUGGUUCCAUGACAGCUAUUCUACCCUAUUGAUCUGCCAGUCUAUUUUUCACCAGAACGAACAGAAAUAGGACUAAUGGAAGAGGGCAUAUAGGAUCUGGAGACUUCCUCCCACCCUUUACAGCUGACAGCAGUGA